rfam:Felis catus isolate Cinnamon breed Abyssinian chromosome A1, whole genome shotgun sequence.
GCCUGGGUGGCUCAGUCGGUUGAGCGUCUGACUUCAGCUCAGCUCAUGAUCUCACGGUCUGUGAGUUCGAGCCCCGCGUCGGGCU